rnacentral:misc_RNA from 1 species
CUGUGGGGGAUUGUCCCCAUUAGAUAGAUACCCUUUGUUUAUGAGUACCACUUGUUUCCUCGGCAGGCCUGCCUGCCGCUAGGACACUUCUAUAAACCUUUUGCAGUUGCAGUACCUUCAGUAAUAAAAACAAAACUAUCA